UACGUAGGGUGCGAGCGUUAAUCGGAAUUACUGGGCGUAAAGCGUGCGCAGGCGGUUUUGUAAGCCAGAUGUGAAAUCCCCGGGCUUAACCUGGGAAUGGCAUUUGGGACUGCAAGGCUCGAGUGCGGCAGAGGAGACUGGAAUUCCUGGUGUAGCAGUGAAAUGCGUGGAUAUCAGGAGGAACACCGAUGGCGAAGGCAGGUCUCUGGGCUGACACUGACGCUCAUGCACGAAAGCGUGGGGAGCAAACAGG
rnacentral:rRNA from 1 species